rnacentral:rRNA from 1 species
GACGUAGGGCGCGAGCGUUGUCCGGAUUAUUGGGCGUAAAGAGCUCGUAGGCGGCUUGUCGCGUCGACUGUGAAAACCCGCGGCUCAACCGCGGCCUGCAGUCGAUACGGGCAGGCUAGAGUUCGUAGGGGAGACUGGAAUUCCUGGUGUAGCGGUGAAAUGCGCAGAUAUCAGGAGGAACACCGAUGGCGAAGGCAGGUCUCUGGGCCGAUACUGACGCUGAGGAGCGAAAGCGUGGGGAGCGAACAGG